AUGACAUCACCACUUUGGAACCUUUAUUUUUGGAACUUUAAUCUCCAAUCUUCUGUCCAUUUCCAUAACCUCAUCUUGAAUCCCAGCCUUCAUCUUGAAUGGGAUUGUUCACCAACCUGUAGUCGUUGUUCUGCAGUAGGUGGCGAUGGGGACCCAGACACCCAGUCAUCUCUUCCAGCAGGUCCAAACUUUAUCCAGCUGCUGUCCAGCAAUCGUCGCAUGCUUCUGCUGACAGAAGAGCUUCGGCUGAUGAAGGAUGAGAGAGUCAGAUCAGUGGAAAUCAGGCCAGCGGUCAGCCAAUGGCGUGAGGCGAAAAAAGACCCGAAAGGCAAUCAUUUGGGGAUUUGUGAUGCACACAGCUGGCCUAUAUUUAAUAAGCAGAGAAGAUGGAGCUGUCCAUCAAAUGAGUUGAAGUGCUGCUGCGCUAUGCAAUGGUGGCAGAAAAGGGCGGGGCUUUUCCUUUGCAUUCAGAGUUGCACGUUUAGAUGAACAUCUAGGAAUGCUUCAGUUCAGACAUAUGUUGCUUUAAGAUAUACUUUAGCCUACUUCUUUGCUUUGGAGAAACUUAACCCUGUUUAGUCAGACAUAUUAAAUACUAGUCCAAAAAAUGGACUCUUUAUUGAUCCUUUAGACAAAAUAUGAGAAAAAAAAGUUUUAUGUUUUGCAUCAGAUUUGAAUCACCAUGUCUCAUAUAAUAUGAUACAGUGAGAAUAAUGAGCUCACAUUUGAGGAGGAAAAAGCGCCUAUAUUUUAUUCAGAUGCCCAAACUGAGCAAAAAUAUGCAAUUUGGUGAAGUUGCUGUUAUUUAUAUGGCCAGAAAUUAAGAAAUUCUGAUCAUGUAAAUCAAUAAGAUUUUUAUCAUAGUAACAGACUACUUAUAUAAAUGCAUAUAAAUAUCAGUUGUCACGAUAAUGUCUUUGUAAGAUAUUUAUUUGCUCAGUUUUAUGAUUAACAGAAUACAUAAUGCAAUGCAAAACAGUGAUGAUUGAGAAAUGAACAAAUAAACAUUCCUCAAAAGGCUGAUGAGCA
ensembl:lncRNA